CCGGAGCCGGAGCUUCCCCCGCCCAAGCAAAACCGGGCGCCGGAUUCCGCUCGCCGGAGCCGGAGCCUGCUCUAGGCGGCUGCAACAAAAACCCGGAGCCGGAGCACUGGCCUGAUUUGGAUCGGACCUGCCUUAGAGUGAUUAAAUUGCAGAACUAAUGCAGCCUCUAAUGGGAUCAUUUGGGGUGUGCACAUGAUCAGAUGUAAACAUCACUAGUGGAAUUUGAACUCCCUCAGCUGACAAGGACUUGCUUACCUGUCACCUUACGUUUCAUUUCCAUCAUUUGUAAUAAGAAAUAAAAGAUACUGCACCAACUUCACCUAUUGCAUUCAACAAAUAUAACUACAAUGAUCUGGUGACAGCCAUUAAAGAAAUGUGUUUAACUGAAUUUUAGUAGCAAUUAAAGCAGCCAAGGAAAAUA